rnacentral:rRNA from 1 species
UACGAAGGGGGCUAGCGUUGCUCGGAAUCACUGGGCGUAAAGCGCACGUAGGCGGCUUCUUAAGUCAGGGGUGAAAUCCUGGAGCUCAACUCCAGAACUGCCUUUGAUACUGGCGAUCUUGAGUCCGGGAGAGGUGAGUGGAACUGCGAGUGUAGAGGUGAAAUUCGUAGAUAUUCGCAAGAACACCAGUGGCGAAGGCGGCUCACUGGCCCGGUACUGACGCUGAGGUGCGAAAGCGUGGGGAGCAAGCAGG